UUCAGGAUCGCCGGGCGGUCUAAGGCACUACGUUUAGGUCGCAGUCCGCUUCUGUGAGCGUGGGUUCGAAUCCCACUUCUGAAA